rnacentral:rRNA from 1 species
UACGUAGGGUGCAAGCGUUGUCCGGAAUUAUUGGGCGUAAAGAGCUCGUAGGCGGUUUGUCGCGUCGAAUGUGAAAAUCCCGGGGCUCAACCCCCGGGUCUGCAUUCGAUACGGGCAGACUAGAGUUCGGUAGGGGAGUCUGGAAUUCCUGGUGUAGCGGUGAAAUGCGCAGAUAUCAGGAGGAACACCGGUGGCGAAGGCGGGACUCUGGGGCCGAUACUGACGCUGAGGAGCGAAAGCGUGGGGAGCAAACAGG